AUACCGAUUAUUUUGGUAUACCGUUAAACUGCGGUAUACCGUGAAAGUACGGUAUACCGAAAUUCGGUAAGGUAUACCGAAAUAAAGGUACGGUAAAGGUUUUGUAUUUUCUCUAUACCGUACUUAAGGUAUACCGAACUAAGGUAUACCGUAGGUAAAGGUAAGGUAAAGGUAUGGAUUUUCUCCAUACCGGAGGUAAAGGUAAGGUAUAAGGUAUGAUCGAUUUAAUAAGGUAUACCGUACCGUGCCACCCCUAGU
rnacentral:lncRNA from 1 species